rnacentral:lncRNA from 1 species
GUCACUUCCGUCUGCGUCGGCAAGCUGAUGGGUUGCUGCGGAAUCGAGCGCCAUUCUCAGCGAGCGAUAGGGUCGGACGGUCGCCGUCGAGCUGUGGCGGGUGAUAGACGUAAAGGAGGGUCUUUCCCUUGGCAGGCGUCUGCACCAUCUGUCUUUUAGUUUCCGCAAUCUCCGAAGCGAAGAGGGAGCGGUGUGUCUCUAUAAUUCUUGUGAAAGGCAGAAGCCAGACCCUUUGACCUCUUCUCAAGCAGUGCCAACAGAACUUGGGGAAAAGUAUAUUCAAUAACAUUUGCGAGAAAUAAGUUAGGAGGUUCCUUUUCAGAAUUAUGGAAGCAAGGAAGAUGGCAACACCAAUGUAGCAGGGGAUGAAGAGGAAGGCGUGUCAAAAUUGUUUGAGAGAAGAAGACAGAGCCUGUCCUUGGCCUCAUCUACAAAGCAACAGGUUGGGAGGCAACUCUCUUCAAUGUAGGGAAAAGUUUAAAUCUAAGCUUCAAGAGCAAUUUUGGAAAAUUUCAUGAUCGCACAACAUGAAAUCAUGGAAGAAUAAUGUUAUCUCAGACAAAAGACUAUGAAGAUUAUCAAGAUUUUGGCGAUUUGGAAGAUGUUCUUAUGCUGCGAGCUGCCCAAAGACAGGAUGGCUGCAUCUGAGGAUCUUGGCUUCUUGAUGACUGGAUUACUUAUUCGUUUAUUUAUUUAACUGUAAAGUCAUCUGAGGAAGAGAUUUAGAGGUGAUGGAGAGGAGCCGGGAAUUUGAGCUAGGAAUUUGUCUUAGUGAACUUUAAAAGCUAACUCUCCAAGGUUUCUGGUUUUGUGGGUAUGGACUUUCCUAUAGUGAUUAAAGUUUAAAACCAUUUUUAGAACUCUUGUCCAGUUACCCAGCCUUCACAGUUAAAAUAUAUUUCUCUCAUUGUUCUUACCUGAGACAUCUGGGGAAAUGAGAUGGAAAAAUGUACAUGCCAAUCACACUUGCAUUUCUCUUAAAAUAGGGAAGUUGAAAAAUGACUUAAAAACUCUGUCACAUAAAUUUUAUUUUUCCCAUUUUUAACUCUGACAGUUUCAUACAUGUAUAUAAUAAAAUUUUGUUCUAUAACUGCUUUAACAUCUUAUAAUACUCCUACCCAUAGCAAGGUCAAUAUUAGUUAAUAGAUAUGCAAACAUUGAGAUAUGCUUCACAAUGGACCUUGUUACUGCCCUUUGAAUAAUGUGUCUCACGGGAAUAAUUGUGUCAGCAUUUACUGUCUCAUUUAGUGGAACAUUCUGCUUAUAAGUGAUUUAAUUUUUCCUUGCCUUUUGGUUCAUUAUUCUUAGCCUUAAAUUAUUUUUAUUUUUAAACUUAAGGGCCAACUUUAAAAAUAAGCCCUGUGGGACAGUGGAGAAAGGGCAGUCCAGUAAUGCAUAUAACUUGGUAUAUAUUACCUGGAUGAUGGUGUGAUCAAAUAUCUACAGUUCAUAGGUAUGGAGAGGUUUGGCUACGUAGGGGAAAAGAUGGCAGACAACAAGAUCAGAAGGCUGGUGGUAAGGAAGAUUGGAGAAUAAUGGUGAAUGAACCAUUUGAGAACCAUUUGUUUUAAACAAAGGGACUAUGAUCACAUGAGUCAGUUGACCCAUCAUGUUGAUGUCAGUCAAUUGUCAAUGAAGUCAUACACAACGAAGGGCCUACCACCAUAGUAAUGAAGAUCACACACGUCUCAAUAAAGAACUGAUAGCUGGCGACCACCACAGGCUAAUGAUCAAUUGAAAAAUUGUUACAUUGACUUUUCUUCUGCGGAUUGCACCACAUUUCUUCCAGUGUAGAACAAGCUUUUGUUCUUGCUGGAACAACAAUCUGGAUAGUUUGGAGGCCACCAUGCUGCUUCUGUUAACUUAGUGGAUGCCAUGACUAGAUGUCAUCUCACCAGUGUUGCUUUUGGUCAAUAAAAUCUUUUUAUAGAAAAAUGA